rnacentral:rRNA from 1 species
ACCUUAUAUAUAAUAUUUUUUUUUAAAUAUUAUUAUGUAAGAUUAACAUAAUUCAUAUUUUUUAAGACUGAAUUUUUAGUUUUGAUAAUAUGAAAUUUUACUUUGAGAAAAUUAGAGUGCUUAAAGCAGGCUUUUGCCUUGAAUACUCCAGCAUGGAAUAAUAAUAAAAGAUUUUUAUCUUUUUUUUAUUGGUUCUAAGAUAAAAAUAAUGAUUAAUAGGGACAGUUGGGGGCAUUUGUAUUUAACAGUCAGAGGUGAUAUUCUUAGAUUUGUUAAAGACAAACUAAUGCGAAAGCAUUUGCCAAGGAUGUUUUCAUUAAUCAAGAACGAAAGUUAGGGGAUCGAAGACGAUCAGAUACCGUCGUAGUCUUAACC